rnacentral:tRNA from 1 species
GGUGGCGUAGUCAAGUGGUUAAGACGAUGGUUUGCAAAACCAUUAUUCAUCGGUUCGAAUCCGAUCGCCACCUCCA